UAUCCUUGGAGCUAAAGGAAAAUUUAUUGCAGAGCUCAUUCAAAUGAGGGAGCAUAACUGGCAGCCUGCUUACUCACAGUUGGCAAGUUGUGCACGUAGACCAUGUGACAUUUCCCUCCUGCCCAGUGAGUAAACAACCUGUGAAGUCAAGUCGCACUAGCCAGCCACCUCAGCAACCAGCUGUGUUCAGCCAAUUUUCACCAUUAUCCACUAAUCCUCUCACCUGAUAAUCCUUUCAUCUGCUCUCUCAGUGACUGAUCUGGUGUUCGUACUGUUAAUUUUCAGGUUCUGCAAUGAGCAGGCGACCGGCUCCGAAGCUGCAGCCACACUGUGAAGAUGGACAUGUACCCCAAGGUGUUAAGGAUGUGAGCCCAUGAUUGGCUCCAUUGCUUCUCUCUGAUCGUGGCGUCAAGCCAGGCUGAAGUCAACAAGGACGAGCACGGAGGACGGGUGGGUGUUUGGCAUCGCCUGC